CGUUCAGGCAUCCAUUUGAUACUUAGAUGUUCGGUUUUUGGCAAGAACGGAUUCUUGAACACACGGGCAUUGUCUCCAUGGUUGAAGCUCUUGAUUGAAAUCUCCAGAAUUGAAGUUUGAGAGGUGAAGGUGAAACGCAGCAAGAAUGGAUCAUUUCCACCAUUAUCGAAUGUUUUCUUCUUGGUGUUUGGUUUUUCUUCUGAUGGAAUCAGCAGCUCAUGCCAUGUUUAAUCAGUUUUCAAGUUCUUGUCUGACGUUUACAAUGCAAUGUUCUGUAUGGACUCGACCACCCCCAAGAGACAAGAUGUCCAAAGAUGCAAUUAUAUCUCAAAUGAGUUGGCGUUUUCAUGGUUGUUCUUGGACAUUUUGGCAAAUGCUUACCGGUUCUUGAAGAGAUCGGCCCAACAAAAAACAUGCAAUCUGAUGGUUCUUGAAGAGGUGGCGCCAUGGAAAGCUCCCGAAGCUUUCUUUUUUUUCGAUUAAAGAAAUAGAUUGAGCAUGUGAACUUAAUUUUCUGUAAAAAGAUUGAUUUUAUGUUUAACCAAGAUGAAGCUCCGACUCGAUCUGUGAUAUAUACGUCAACGACGUGCGUGCAUGAACUAAUACACCAAACAAAAAAAGUAGAUAUCAUAUCCAAUCAUAACAGUAAAACAUAGGAUUCGGUCGGACCAAAUAAUUAUAGAAGAAAAACAACACCCAAUGACGGCAACGAGCCAUUCAAGAAAUCACAGUACCAUCUCUCCAACUCU